UACAGGGGGUGCAAACGUUGCUCGGAAUCAUUGGGCGUAAAGCGCACGUAGGCGGUCUGUUAUGUCGGAUGUGAAAGCCCUUGGCUCAACUGAGGAAGUGCAUCCGAAACUGGCAGGCUUGAGUACUAAAGAGGGUCGCGGAAUUCCCGGUGUAGAGGUGAAAUUCGUAGAUAUCGGGAGGAACACCGGUGGCGAAGGCGGCGACCUGGGUAGAUACUGACGCUGAGGUGCGAAAGCGUGGGGAGCAAACAGG
rnacentral:rRNA from 1 species